rnacentral:tRNA from 1 species
AGAGGAAUGGCAGAGUGGUCGAAUGCGGCAGUCUUGAAAACUGUUGUGGGGCAACCCACCGGGGGUUCGAAUCCCUCUUCCUCUGC